rnacentral:miRNA from 1 species
CAGAGAUCCAAACCCUCCGGGGGCGC